rnacentral:rRNA from 1 species
GACGAACGCUGGCGGCGUGCUUAACACAUGCAAGUCGAACGGAAAGGCCCUGCUUUUGUGGGGUGCUCGAGUGGCGAACGGGUGAGUAACACGUGAGUAACCUGCCCUUGACUUUGGGAUAACUUCAGGAAACUGGUGCUAAUACCUGAUAGGAGCUCCUGCUGCAUGGUGGGGUUUGGACAGUUUCGGCGGUUGGGGAUGGACUCGCGGCUUAUCAGCUUGUUGGUGGGGUAGUGGCUUACCAAGGCUUUGAAGGGUCGCCGGCCUGAGAGGGUGACCGGCCACAUUGGGACUGAGAGACGGCCCAGACUCCUACGGGAGGCAGCAGUGGGGAAUAUUGCACAAUGGGCGGAAGCCUGAUGCAGCAACGCCGCGUGCGGGAUGAAGGCCUUCGGGUUGUAAACCGCUUUCGCCUGUGACGAAGCGUGAGUGACGGUAAUGGGUAAAGAAGCACCGGCUAACUACGUG